rnacentral:rRNA from 1 species
UGGGGAAUCUUGCACAAUGGGCGCAAGCCUGAUGCAGCAACGCCGCGUGAGUGAAGAAGGCCCUUGGGUUGUAAAGCUCUUUCGGCCGGGAAGAAGGGUUUAUGGGUAAACAAUCCAUAGAUUUGACGGUACCGGAGUAAGAAGCACCGGCUAAUUCCGUGCCAGCAGCCGCGGUAAUACGGGAGGUGCGAGCGUUGUUCGGAAUGACUGGGCGUAAAGCGCACGUAGGCGGGCUUUUAAGUCGUAUGUGAAAGCCCCGGGCUUAACCCGGGAAUUGCAUUCGAAACUGGAAGUCUUGAAUGCUUGAGAGGUUGAUGGAAUUCUUGGUGUAGGAGUGAAAUCCGUAGAUAUCAAGAGGAACACCAGAGGCGAAGGCGGUCAACUGGCGAUGCAUUGACGCUGAGGUGCGAAAGCGUGGGUAGCAAACAGG